GACGAACGCUGGCGGCGUGCCUAAUACAUGCAAGUCGAGCGAGCUUGCCUAGAUGAUUUUAGUGCUUGCACUAAAUGAAACUAGAUACAAGCGAGCGGCGGACGGGUGAGUAACACGUGGGUAACCUGCCCAAGAGACUGGGAUAACACCUGGAAACAGAUGCUAAUACCGGAUAACAACACUAGACGCAUGUCUAGAGUUUGAAAGAUGGUUCUGCUAUCACUCUUGGAUGGACCUGCGGUGCAUUAGCUAGUUGGUAAGGUAACGGCUUACCAAGGCAAUGAUGCAUAGCCGAGUUGAGAGACUGAUCGGCCACAUUGGGACUGAGACACGGCCCA
rnacentral:rRNA from 1 species